rnacentral:rRNA from 1 species
UCAGGCAGCUAACUCUCUGCAACUCUCACAUGGUCGCCCAUGGUCGCCCACUGAAGCUAAGCAGGGCUGCGCCUGGUCACUACCUGGAUGGGAGACCACAUGGGAAAGCUAGAUUGCUGCCGGAA